CGUCCUCACAAAGCUGUGCGUGGCCGGGGAAGACAAGGUCAGAGGUGGAUGUGGCGAAGAGGACAAGAAGAAAUGAACAGUGACAGCAAUGACCAGGAAAUCUUCCAAAGGAUCCAGGCCCUCAAGUUCCUGCCUUUACUUCUUGCCCUGAAUUUCCUGGAUGAUGGACCGCAAACCGUAAACUGCUUUCAUGUAGCCCAGGCUGUUCUUGAACUCAGUAUGUAGCUGAGAAUGACCUUGAACUCUUGAUCCCUCUGCCCAUCUCCCUUGUGCCGGGAUUUCAAGCUCACACGUCUAUACCAGGCCAGGUCUGUUGUUUUCUACCCUUGGGUCUUCAUGACCCUCACCCAAGAGGACUGCUUCAUGACUUGCAGGGAGUCGUCGCUAGAAUGAGGUUUAAACCUCGGGGACUUUGCUGGGAGACUGU